rnacentral:piRNA from 1 species
UGCAGGACAUCUUUCUUUGUCAAUCAUG